rnacentral:rRNA from 1 species
UUUCGGCGUAAAGAGUGGUUAAAUGCCCACCUUCACUAAAGCCAAAUGCUCUCAUCGCUGUUAUACGCUUCCGAGAGUAAGAAGCCCCACUACGAAAGUAGCUUUAUUAGAAUUGACCCCACGAAAGCUGUGGAACAAACUGGGAUUAGAUACCCCACUAUGCACAGCCAUAAACUUAGGCAGUUUACUACAAUAUCUGCCCGCCAGGAACUACGAGCACUAGCUUGAAACCCAAAGGACUUGGCGGUGCUUAAGACCCCCCUAGAGGAGCCUGUUCUAGAACCGAUAACCCCCGUUUAACCUCACCCUCUCUUGUUAAUACCGCCUAUAUACCGCCGUCGUCAGCUUACCCUGUGAAGGCUUAAUAGUAAGCUAAACUAGCA